rnacentral:sRNA from 1 species
CGAGCGCCAGCGAGAGAGCGUUGCCGCAGGCAACGACCCGAAGGGCGAAGCGCGCAGCGCUGAGUAAUCCUUCCCCCCACCACCA